AUUCAUGGCCCACAAAGGAGAGAGAAGACCUCCGAUCUCUUGUGCCAUGCUCACUAUGCUAUGUGAAAUUUGCUAUGUUAGACCUUGACAUCCUGGAUGGUGGGGAUGAUGACUGGUUUCUCUGCACAGCCCUGGGCCCAGUAUCCUGCCCAGCCCUUAGGAGUCCUCAUGGAAUGAGCUCAGCUCCCGCGAUGCUCCUGUUUGUCCACUGAGG
rnacentral:lncRNA from 1 species